rnacentral:rRNA from 1 species
CAACCCUUGACAUGGGACGUAUGGGCUUCAGAGAUGGGGUCCUUCAGUUCGGCUGGCGUCCACACAGGUGCUGCAUGGCUGUCGUCAGCUCGUGUCGUGAGAUGUUGGGUUAAGUCCCGCAACGAGCGCAACCCUCAUCUUCAGUUGCCAUCAUUUGGUUGGGCACUCUGAAGAAACUGCCGGUGACAAGCCGGAGGAAGGCGGGGAUGACGUCAAGUCCUCAUGGCCCUUACGGGUUGGGCUACACACGUGCUACAAUGGUGGUGACAAUGGGGAGCAAAGGCGCGAGCCCGAGCCGAUCUCAAAAAGCCAUCUCAGUUCGGAUUGCACUCUGCAACUCGGGUGCAUGAAAUUGGAAUCGCUAGUAAUCGUGGAUCAGCAUGCCACGGUGAAUACGUUCCC